UACAGAGGUCUCAAGCGUUUGUUCGGAUUCAUUGGGGCGUAAAGGGUGCGUAGGCGGCGCGGUAAGUCGGGUGUGAAAUCUCGGAGCUUAACUCCGAAACUGCAUUCGAUACUGCCGUGCUUGAGGACUGGAGAGGAGACUGGAAUUUACGGUGUAGCGGUGAAAUGCGUAGAUAUCGUAAGGAAGACCAGUGGCGAAGGCGGGUCUCGUGGACAGUUCCUGACGCUGAGGCACGAAGGCCAGGGGAGCAAACGGG
rnacentral:rRNA from 1 species